UUACUCCGCGGCUGGGGUCUCGCCGCGAUCACGAAGGCGGCGGACCCGCGGGUAGAUCGGGUCCAGUGCACUUUCGGACCCGGUGGACCCGCGUCAACAGCUAAAUUUUUGAGUGAGGGGAUAGCGUUCGCGCUUCCCCGU
rnacentral:snRNA from 1 species